CAUCACAACCUCUUUAACAGACAGGAUACACAAACACAUCACCAACCUCUUUAACAGACAGGAUCCCCAAACAUCACAACCUCUUUAACCGACAGGAUAGACAACCUCUUUAACAGACAGGAUACACAACCUCUUAACAGACAGGAUAGACACACCCUCUUUAACAGACAGGAUACACAACACAACCUCUUUAACAGACAGGAUACACAACCUCUUUAACAGACAGGAUACACAACCUCUUUAACAGACAGGAUACACAACCUCUUUAACAGACAGGAUACACAACACAACCUCUUUAACAGGCAGGAUACCCAACCUCUUUACAGACAGGAUAGACACCUCUUUACAGACAGAUACACAACUCUUUACGACGGAUACACUACAACCUCUUAACAGACAGGAUACACAUCACAACCUCUUUAACAGACAGGAUACACACACAACCUCUUUAACAGACAGUACAUAACCUCUUUACAGAAGGAUACACAAACACAACCUCU
rnacentral:lncRNA from 1 species